rnacentral:rRNA from 1 species
UACGGAAGGCAGCAGUGGGGAAUAUUGCACAAUGGGCGAAAGCCUGAUGCAGCUAUGCCGCGUGUAUGAAGAAGGCCUUAGGGUUGUAAAGUACUUUCAUCGGGGAGGAAAAAACAAAACUAAUAAUUUUAUUUCUUGACGUUACCCGAAAAAGAAGCACCGGCUAACUCCGUGCCAGCAGCCGCGGUAAUACGGAGGGUGCUAGCGUUAAUCAGAAUUACUGGGCGUAAAGAGCACGUAGGUGGUUUUUUUAAGUCAGAUGUGAAAUCCCUGGGCUUAACCUGGAACUGCAUUUUGAAACUGAAAUACUAGAGUAUCGUAGAGGGAGGUAGAAUUCUAGGUGUAGCGGUGAAAAUGCGUAGAUAUCUGGAGGAAUACCUGUGGCGAAAGCGGCCUCCUAAACGAAUACUGACACUGAGGUGCGAAAAGCGUGGGGAGCAAAACAGGGAUUAGAUACC